rnacentral:rRNA from 1 species
UACAGAGGUCUCGAGCGUUGUUCGGAUUCAUUGGGCGUAAAGGGUGCGUAGGCGGCGGGGUAAGUCUGAUGUGAAAUCCCGGGGCUCAACCCUGGAACUGCAUUGGAUACUGCUCUGCUUGAGUACUGGAGAGGAGACUGGAAUUUACGGUGUAGCAGUGAAAUGCGUAGAGAUCGUAAGGAAGACCAGUGGCGAAGGCGACUUCCUGGCCUGUUCUUGACGCUGAGGCGCGAAAGCUAGGGGAGCAAACGGG